rnacentral:rRNA from 1 species
UACGAAGGGUGCAAGCGUUACUCGGAAUUACUGGGCGUAAAGCGUGCGUAGGUGGUUUGUUAAGUCUGAUGUGAAAGCCCUGGGCUCAACCUGGGAAUUGCAUUGGAUACUGGCAAGCUAGAGUGCGGUAGAGGAUGGCGGAAUUCCCGGUGUAGCAGUGAAAAUGCGUAGAGAUCGGGAGGAACAUCUGUGGCGAAGGCGGCCAUCUGGACCAGCACUGACACUGAGGCACGAAAGCGUGGGGAGCAAACAGG